CAGGCAGUCUCCUUGGCUAAG
rnacentral:miRNA from 1 species